rnacentral:rRNA from 1 species
UACGAAGGGGGCUAGCGUUGCUCGGAAUCACUGGGCGUAAAGGGUGCGUAGGCGGGUCUUUUAAGUCAGGGGUGAAAUCCUGGAGCUCAACUCCAGAACUGCCUUUGAUACUGAAGAUCUUGAGUUCGGGAGAGGUGAGUGGAACUGCGAGUGUAGAGGUGAAAUUCGUAGAUAUUCGCAAGAACACCAGUGGCGAAGGCGCUCACUGGCCCGAUACUGACGCUGAGGCACGAAAGCGUGGGGAGCAAACAGGG